rnacentral:hammerhead_ribozyme from 1 species
AUCCAACUGAUGAGUCCCAAAUAGGACGAAACGCGUGUCUUGGAU